rnacentral:rRNA from 1 species
AUUGAACGCUGGCGGCAGGCUUAACACAUGCAAGUCGAGCGGAGAUGAGGUGCUUGCACCUUAUCUUAGCGGCGGACGGGUGAGUAAUGCUUAGGAAUCUGCCUAUUAGUGGGGGACAACAUUCCGAAAGGAAUGCUAAUACCGCAUACGUCCUACGGGAGAAAGCAGGGGAUCUUCGGACCUUGCGCUAAUAGAUGAGCCUAAGUCGGAUUAGCUAGUUGGUGGGGUAAAGGCCAACCAAGGCGACGAUCUGUAGCGGGUCUGAGAGGAUGACCCGCCACACUGGGACUGAGACACGGCCCAGACUCCUACGGGAGGCAGCAGUGGGGAAUAUUGGACAAUGGGGGGAACCCUGAUCCAGCCAUGCCGCGUGUGUGAAGAAGGCCUUAUGGUUGUAAAGCACUUUAAGCGAGGAGGAGGCUACUGAGACUAAUACUCUUGGAUAGUGGACGUUACUCGCAGAAUAAGCACCGGCUAACUCUGUGCCAGCCGCCGCGGUAAGAC